UAGGCUUCUACCUGCAGAGGACAGUUAGCC
rnacentral:piRNA from 1 species